AUUGAACGCUGGCGGCAUGCCUUACACAUGCAAGUCGAACGGCAGCACGGGAGCAAUCCUGGUGGCGAGUGGCGAACGGGUGAGUAAUAUAUCGGAACGUGCCCAGUCGUGGGGGAUAACGUAGCGAAAGCUACGCUAAUACCGCAUACGAUCUAUGGAUGAAAGCGGGGGAUCGCAAGACCUCGCGCGAUUGGAGCGGCCGAUAUCAGAUUAGGUAGUUGGUGAGGUAAAGGCUCACCAAGCCGACGAUCUGUAGCUGGUCUGAGAGGACGACCAGCCACACUGGGACUGAGACACGGCCCAGACUCCUACGGGAGGCAGCAGUGGGGAAUUUUGGACAAUGGGCGGCAAGCCUGAUCCAGCAAUGCCGCGUGCAGGAUGAAGGCCUUCGGUUGGUAAC
rnacentral:rRNA from 1 species